GACGAACGCUGGCGGCGUGCUUAACACAUGCAAGUCGAACGGAAAGGCCCUGCUUUUGUGGGGUGCCCGAGUGGCGAACGGGUGAGUAACACGUGAGUAACCUGCCCUUGACUUUGGGAUAACUUCAGGAAACUGGGGCUAAUACCGGAUAGGAGCUCCUGCUGCAUGGUGGGGGUUGGAAAGUUUCGGCGGUUGGGGAUGGACUCGCGGCUUAUCAGCUUGUUGGUGGGGUAGUGGCUUACCAAGGCUUUGACGGGUAGCCGGCCUGAGAGGGUGACCGGCCACAUUGGGACUGAGAUACGGCCCAGAUUCCUACGGGAGGCAGCAGUGGGGAAUAUUGCACAAUGGGCGGAAGCCUGAUGCAGCAACGCCGCGUGCGGGAUGACGGCCUUCGGGUUGUAAACCGCUUUCGCCUGUGACGAAGCGUGAGUGACGGUAAUGGGUAAAGAAGCACCGGCUAACUACGUG
rnacentral:rRNA from 1 species